AAUAACGCAAUAAUGGUCAAUAAUGGAAAAAUAUGACCAUUUUAGAUGUAAUAAAAUCAAUAAUAACAGUAAUUUUAUUUUGAGUCAGAACUUU